rnacentral:rRNA from 1 species
AUUGAACGCUGGCGGCAGACCUAACACAUGCAAGUCGAACGAGUGGCGGACGGGUGAGUAAUGUCUGGGCAACUGCCUGAUGGAGGGGGAUCACUACUGGAAACGGUAGCUAAUACCGCCUACUAUCAGAUGUGCCCAUCGGUGAUUAGCUAGUUGGUGGGGUAACGGCUACCAAAGGCGACGAUCCCUAGCUGGUCUGAGAGGAGGACCGGCACAACGGGAACGGGGAAACGGUCCGGAUUCCUAGGGGAGGCAGAAGUGGGGAAUAUUGCACAAGGAGGGCAAGCCGGAUGCGGCCAUGCCGCGUGUAGGAAGAAGGCCUUCGGGUGGUAAGGUAUGUUCAGCGGGGAGGCGUUACCGGCAGAAGAAGCACCGGCUAACUCCGUGCCAGCCGCCGCGGUAAUUC